rnacentral:rRNA from 1 species
CUACGGGGGGCUGCAGUCGAGAGGCUUCGUCAAUGGGGGCAACCCUGAACGAGCGACGCCGCGUGAGCGAUGAAGGUCGUAAGAUCGUAAAGCUCUGUUAGUGGGGAAGAAACCCCGGGGUGCUAAUACCACCACGGCUUGACGUUACCCACAAAGAAAGCUCCGGCUAGCUCCGUGCCAGCAGCCGCGGUAACACGGGGGGAGCAAACGUUGUUCGGAAUCACUGGGCGGAAGGGCGCGUAGGCGGCCUGGUCAGUGAAACGUGAAAGCCCCUGGCUCAACCAGGGAAUGUCGUUUCAUACUGCCAGGCUUGAGGACGGGAGAGGAGAGGGGAAUUCCCGGUGUAGCGGUGAAAUGCACUGAUAUCGGGAGGAACACCAGUGGCGAAGGCGCCUCUCUGGCCCGUUCCUGACGCUCAGGCGCGAAAGCAGGGGGAGCAAACAGGAUUAGAUACCCUCGUAGUC